AAAACAGUUGAGCGAGCUUUGAACGUGUUCUCGUCAAGGAUGUUUUUUCGGAAGGCAGCGUGACAUAGCAUCGCGUGGGAACAUUUCUGCACAGGAGCCACUCCCACGUCUGGAGGUGAUUCGUGCAGACGCCCACGCUUACUACGACACCGCGUGACCAUCAACACUGGAAGGAUGCGAUUUACACGGUGCAAGGAUAAAAACACUAUCACUCCAUCUGUGUAAACUAUAAAUCAAGCUACUAAAAACAUUAAUAUUUUGCAAACGACAUAAAUAAAGGUAAUACUGUUUUGUGCGCCGAUAAAUUCAUGCAGCUCAACCCUGCCCCAUAGUGGUCAUCCGUGAUAUUACAACAAUAGAUGGAUAGGAUAAAUUGCUCAUUCGUUUCUCAAUCUCAACCGGUUUUACGUCUGUGUUUUAUGACAUUUGUCAUGUUUAAAUUCCAAUGUGUGUCUGAACAAGGCAUUGAAUGAUUUGGAAUGUAAAAUGUUAUUGUUGUAAACAUUGGGCAGGGGAACGUUCAAUAGUCACUAUAAUCAAUAGUCGCUCUCAUCAUGAUGACGAGAAAUCUCGUUUUGGCUCAGAUGUGGUUUUAGUCCUCAUAAAUCAAUGAAGCUAUAAUGAAACCAUUUUAACACACAUGCACACAAAAGGUACACAUAGAUAUUUUAUUUAAGCGUGAAGUGGGGGGAAAAAUGUACAAAUAGUGGACCAGACCAGCACAGUGUACUGACAACAGUCUGGUUCAGUUAUCAGGUGUUGCUUUGGGGCUGGAGUCGAUGAGAUCCUUAUUGAGGGUCUCCAUCUGGAACCAGGGGCCAUCACCUCUCGCUCUCAUGUGUUUGCGCACCUCAAGCUGUGCCAGCCUAUUUACCACAGACAGAAUAUUCACUCAAUGAACAGUCAUUGACAAUACAGAGAAAAUUCUUGGGAUAAAAAAAAAAAAGACAAAUAGUUCACAAAUAGCUACUUU